AAUCGUGUGCAACAAGGAGGCAACGGUCUUUUCUCCUGGUGUAUUUGCAAUAUUCGCCUUGAGCUCACCCACGACUCGUAUUGCAAAGUUACGCUCAGCACGAAAAGACCGAGUUUGCCUCUUUGUUACACAGUACGUUAUUUUCAUGUUAUUUUUAAUGCUUCAUUUGUUCACAAGAAUAAGACGUGUAUGAUAAGCGGUUUUCGGGAGUCACACAUUGUUAGGCGCGAACUCUUUGGUAUCCGACAAUCAGCCGAAUCGAGCAUCAGGAAUUACCGCCCAACAUUUAAUCAACUGCAACGUAACGCUUUGCUGUGAAAGUUGGGGCCGUUGGGACCAACGGGGGAGAAACGAGGACCCCGUGUUUUUCGCAUUUAUUAAUUCGCCAGUGGCUAUGGCUCGUUUUCAUCCCACAGAGCUUAAGGUGUAAGACAACUCUGGAAUUUUCAAAAUAUCGAUCAUGUGUAGAAUAUUUACCUAAAAUUUGAAGUAUCACGAAUAAUACGAGGCAAGAAAGGAACAACAUUGAAGCAGGAAGAGAAGAGAAAGCAGGAGGCUAGCAGUCGCAGUAGAAACACCAGCAUUCGUACGGGGGACAAGGGAAACUGACGAAAACAUUGUCUGGGUGUAGCCGGACUCUAGCUCAAAUCACCGAACACCAAUUCGGCGCCUGAACGGGGUGACCCGUCUUACACUUUUGCAAGUUGCCGUUCAGAAUCUCAUUCACAGGCCAGGGAUCGAACCCGAAUCCUCGCGCUCCGUAGUUUCAAAUGCUAGCACUUGGACUAGCACUACAAGCGCAGCUAACGAUAAAUAUUUUGAAAAUCGCCAAUCGGGUACUUGUCAGAAUAGCAGACGUUCAUGAAUUAUCUUGUUGUUAGGAUUUUACCAAAGGGGCAACUUCAGUGUGGUUUGGCACACAAUAGAUAAUCUCGAGAUACGUGAAUAUCGUCUUGGAAUAUGUGCAUACAGGGAGUCUGGUGAAAGGGCAAAGCCAUGCGCCAUUGCCAACACCAAGGGCAACACAUGCACAAGUUUUACGUGAGCCGAACACAGCGAACAAAUGCUACACUGCGAAAAAAAGUUAUCGAACCAAACAACUAAUUGUUUUUUACUUCCAGAUUAUUUGGUUCAAACAAUUUCUCACUCAGGACAACCACUUUUUAAUCGAAACUAAUAAACAUAUUGAUGCAUUGAUUUGAAUGUUAUAUGCUUUCGAGUUUAAUGUACUUCAAACAAGUACAUAUUUAUUUCCAAGGAUUAAACUGGAAAUUUCGGAACGACAAGUUCGCUUGAAUCAACAAACCUUAUUUAAUUCGUAAAAGAAUAGUACUUUAACCGCUGAACACAUCGGUUCGCUGAAAUAUUAACACUCAAAUAUU
rnacentral:lncRNA from 1 species